CGUAAAGAGCUCGUAGGUGGUUUGUCGCGUUGUUCGUGAAAUCUCACGGCUUAACUGUGAGCGUGCGGGCGAUACGGGCAGACUUGAGUACUGCAGGGGAGACUGGAAUUCCUGGUGUAGCGGUGGAAUGCGCAGAUAUCAGGAGGAACACCGGUGGCGAAGGCGGGUCUCUGGGCAGUAACUGACGCUGAGGAGCGAAAGCGUGGGGAGCGAACAGGAUUAGAUACCCUGGUAGUCCACGCCGUAAACGGUGGGUACUAGGUGUGGGUUUCCUUCCUUGGGAUCCGUGCCGUAGCUAACGCAUUAAGUACCCCGCCUGGGGAGUACGGCCGCAAGGCUAAAACUCAAAGAAAUUGACGGGGGCCCGCACAAGUGGCGGAGCAUGUGGAUUAAUUCGAUGCAACGCGAAGAACCUUACCUGGGUUUGACAUGCACAGGACGCCGGCAGAGAUGUCGGUUCCCUUGUGGCCUGUGUGCAGGUGGUGCAUGGCUGUCGCCAGCUCGUGUCGUGAGAUGUUGGGUUAAGUCCCGCAACGAGCGCAACCCACGUCCUUAGUUGCCAUCAUUCAGUUGGGCACUCUAGGGAGACUGCCGGUGAUAAGCCGCGAGGAAGGUGUGGAUGACGUCAAGUCCUCAUGGCCCUUACGGGAUGGGCUACACACGUGCUACAAUGGCGGUGACAGUGGGACGCGAAACCGCGAGGUUGAGCAAAUCCCCAAAAGCCGUCUCAGUUCGGAUUGCACUCUGCAACUCGGGUGCAUGAAGGCGGA
rnacentral:rRNA from 1 species